ensembl:lncRNA
CUGAAUCUCCGGCUGCAUGAACGAGCCUCGAUUCACUACAAGCCUGAACUUCUACGACGCGCCUCUGCCAUACCUCCACUGCUGCGCGGCGCAGGAUGUAAUCAAUCCCACAUGUUUCAUCUGCGCGACUCGGGGAUUUGCACUUUGAAUAUUUUUGUACUAUUUUUCUUUUCUUGCCACGCAAAUGGAUGUAAUUUACCAGACAUGACGGGGACUCGGUUUCCAGCCUGCAAAGCCGAACGCACGCUCGACGCGAGGGGAGCCCGAAGUUCAUAAAAGGGAUUAUUUGCAUCUGGGUGCCUGAGACCUUCGGUGCCUGCCGGAUUUUACUUUGGGAUUUUGGGAUUUAUCGCCUUCUCGACGGGAUGGAGAGCCGAGACUUCGCUCCUCCGCACCACCUCCUGACGGAGCGGGGCGCGCUGGUUCACGGCGCCGCGGCUCGGCUGGCGCCGGGCGGCCACGGCUCCGUGCAGCACCCCGCUCACUACCAGCCGGGGAAGUACUACCCGUCGCACCUCUCCAUGGGUGCGCACUCAGGUCAGUCCGGACUGCGGCCUUUUCUCUUCUGCUGUAAAUGACGCGUGUGACUUCGAAUGUUUGCUUUUAUUUAACCAUAAUUUACUCUUUUGUCUGAAGCACAUGCUGUCCAUAUUUCAAACUUGGGAAAACGUUGCAGCCUUUUGGGACGAGUUGGCUUUGCAUUUGGGCAUUAAGAAAUAUCACAUUGAAUAGUUUUAUUUUUUAUUUCUCUUUAUUCGUGACAUUUCUGCUUUCUCGGUCGCGUAAAAACAAAACAUUUUAAGACAUUUCCCUUUUAAAGAAACGUUGCAAUUAUAAUUACUACCACAUACCUCGCUUUUUUUUCGCAUUUAAAAAGUCGAGGUUUGAGAAGCAUUAUAGGAUUAGUCGUUUUAUCACACAUGGAUUAUUAGGCGUUUUUCCAUAAGCAUAAUCUUGUCAUAGAUUUAUAUGAUUUCAUCAAUUAGUAAAGUACUAAUCAUUGCCAUUUGAAGUAAUUAAUUUGAAUUGGGUAAUUCUACUGCUUAUAUUUCCCAUUAAACAAUAAAUUAAAGCUAUUAGCAGACUGCAUUUUCUGUGCACCGUUUCCUCCCUCGUGCGUGGCUCCAUGGCGCCUGUUGGGUUGGUGCUGCCGGGUCUUGGGGGCUGGGGGGCCCAUGCGGGUUUGUACUGGUCACAAACUGGGGGUCGCGUUGGUGGAAGUGCAGCUCCGGGUAAUAGAGGUGCGGGUAAUACCAGAAAAUCCGGUUUCUAUAUCGAGCGGGGACGUGACGGGGUGCGAAUGGGUUGACAGUGCAUGCAUUAGAUUUAACAAGUAGCUUUGGUAUCCUGUCUCAAUAGGGGAGGCGAGGGGGUCGGGGGGUGGGGGGGGAGAAAGAAAGAAAGACUCCGCAGUGAAAUCAUACAGUGUCUGUAAACUGGACUAACUGGAUGAAUGUGAACGUGCUCCACGAGAAAUCUCAUUAAUUAUCAUUUAUCAAACGCAGCGGCUGCUUUAAAUAGACGUCGAGGCGCGAGCCUGUGAAUCAAUGAUCUCGUGCAGGAUCCGCACGUCGAUGUCUCUCGCGCUCAUUUGCAUAUUCAUUAGUUUUACACAACUGCAAAAAGAAGUGGCAAACGUCCAGUGCGGCAUUUUAUUUUUUUUAAUGUAUUUAGUAUUUCUUACAGAAAACGUACUUUUUGCAUUUCCGGUCGGACGGUGAGUUUGGCGCGCUGUUUAGACGUUUAGAACUGAAACAGUUAUUUGGGCCCUUCGAGGUCCUGGUUCUGGUUCCGGUCUCCUUCUGCUGCUUCAAAUGGAGGAAGCCUGAUCAAAAAUAAUGUUAUUUUUAUCAGCUCGUCUUGUUCUUCAGAAAUAUUCUUGCAACCUUCAUGACUCCGAACGUAUUGUGUUUGUAAAGGAUUUAAUGUCGUCCAAUCAAUAUGCAACAUACGUGGUGCUACAAUACAGUUAUACUUAUCAUUUCCCAUAAUUUCGGAUUAUUUUGAAAUAUAUUUUGAAAUGUAACAAAUGAAAUAGUGUAUAGGCUUAACGUGAUGUGCAAAAUAUAUUUUACUCUGCGACACGUGUCAAUUUACAGUUGUACACCAUAACAAUGUAUUAAAGAAUAAUUACAUUCAUUUUAUAUUAAUACAAUAUUUUAAAGGUUUUAUGAUACGUUCAGCGGCUCCUCAAAAAUUGACCAAAGUGAUUUUAGCCAAAAUAUGUAAUUUUGAGAACUCGUAACUGAUGGUGAGAUUGUUUCAACAAACACACAUCCAACUCGCAUAACAAUUUAAAGCGAUUACACUCCCCUUUGACGGAUAUCGCUACCCGCUGACAUACAUUAUGCUCCAAUUUAAGGAUGAUUCUGUAACGUUGAAGGGAAAAAAAAGCGUAGUAAUGCGGGGUGAUAAUGCUAUUGAAAUAUAUUCAAGGGGGCCUCUCACUGGGUCUCGAGGUGCAUGACACUGUAUUGAGAUUCCAGAUAUCCAGACUCUCCAUGCAUGUCCCUGAUGGGGUUUUGACUGACGUGAUGGGCACAGAGGAUUGUUGUUUUGGGAUGGGGGUUGGGGUACGUGAGUGUGUGUGUGUGUGUGUGUGUGUGUGUGCUGGGAGGUUAGGAUGGGGGUUACCUUUGUGCUUGCCCCCUUAGAGAUUCAGAAAGCUGUAUGCCUGGCCCGAGGCCUCGGCACAGGGGGCAGAUUUGAUGUGGGGUUGGCCAUGCCGGGGCAGGAGAGGGGGGGGGGGGUUGUUUCAGAUCUUUGGAAGGAGACACAGACACAUUUUUUUUACUGUCUCACAGGACCGAACCGGGUGUAUCACUUACAGUAAUUCAAAGUAUGACCUCCCCGUUUCUUCAUAUGCAGGAAAACCUGCAAUCCA